GGUUAGCUCAGUUGGUUGGGCGCCAGACUGCAGAGCGGAGGUCACGGGUUAGAAUCCCGGCUGGAGCA